rnacentral:rRNA from 1 species
UACAGAGGGUGCGAGCGUUAAUCGGAAUUACUGGGCGUAAAGCGCGCGUAGGCGGCUUUGCAAGUCGGGUGUGAAAUCCCCAGGCUUAACCUGGGAACUGCAUUCGAGACUGCAUUGCUAGAGUAUGGGAGAGGGAAGUGGAAUUUCCGGUGUAGCGGUGAAAUGCGUAGAUAUCGGAAGGAACACCAGUGGCGAAAGCGGCUUCCUGGC